rnacentral:rRNA from 1 species
UGAGUACGAGAUGCUACGGCAUCGAAGCAGUCUAUGUCAUACUUCCAAGAAAAGCUUGCACUGUCAUAAACAAAGAAUGCCUGUACCAUAACCGACACAGGUGGGUAGGUAGAGUAUACUAAGGGGCGCGAGAUAACUCUCUCUAAGGAACUCGGCAAAAUGACUCCGUAACUUCGGGAGAAGGAGUGCCUUAUUUCUAAGGUUGCAAUAACAAGAUCCAAGCAACUGUUUACCAAAAACACAGGUCUCCGCUAAGUCGUAAGACGAUGUAUGGGGGCUGACGCCUGCCCAGUGCCAGAAGGUUAAAGAUGUUGGUUAGCAUUAGCGAAGCUGAUAACUGAAGCCCUGGUGAACGGCGGCCGUAACUAUAAGGGUCCUAAGGUAGCGAAAUUCCUUGUCGGGUAAGUUCCGACCCGCACGAAAGGCGUAAUGAUUUGGAUACUGUCUCGGAGAGGGGCUCGGUGAAAUAGACUUGUCUGUGAAGAUGCGGACUACCUGCACCUGGACAGAAAGACCCUAUGAAGCUUUACUGUAACUUGAGAUUGAAAUUGGACUUUAUUUGCGCAGUAUAGGUGGGAGGCGUUGAGAAUAAUCUUGCGGGAUUGUUGGAGCCAUCAGUGAGAUACCACUCUUGUAAUGUUAGAUUUCUAACUUUGUAUCAUUAUCUGGUCAAAGAACAGUUUCAGGCGGGCAGUUUGACUGGGGCGGUCGCCUCCCAAAGGGUAACGGAGGCGCACAAAGGUUUCCUCUGAACGGGUAGAAAUCGUAUCUAGAGUGUAAAGGCAUAAGGAAGCUUGACUGUGAGACCUACAAGUCGAGCAGGGACGAAAGUCGGUCUUAGUGAUCUGACGGUGCUGAGUGGAAAGGCCGUCACUCAACGGAUAAAAGUUACUCUAGGAUAACAGGCUGAUCUCCCCCAAGAGUUCACAUCGACGGGGAGGCUUGGCACCUCGAUGUCGGCUCAUCGCAUCCUGGGGCGGUAGUCCGUCCCAAGGGUUGGGCUGUUCGCCCACGAAAGCGGUACGCGAGCUGGGUUCAGAACGUCGUGAGACAGUUCGGUCCAUAUCCGGUGUAGGCGUUAGAAUAUUGAGAGGAGCCUUCUCUAGUACGAGAGGACCGAGAAGGACAUACCUCUGGUGUACCAGUUAUCGUGCCAACGGUAAACGCUGGGUAGCUAUGUAUGGAGUGGAUAACCGCUGAAAGCAUCUAAGUGGGAAGCCCACCUCAAGAUAAGUAUUCUCAC